AGAGACUACAAAUUGCCCGACGAGCCCGAGCUGACAAAUAGUAAACAUCAACAUUUCACAUGUAACUUCUUGGUUGUUUUCACAUGACACAAAUGUAACUUCAGUUCAAAUUGCAUGGGAAACAGAGACUACAAAUUGCCCGACGGAAUAACUUUUUAGACUAUAAUUGCCAAAAAAUGGCUAAUAAGUAUUAACUAGAACCUCUGCCUUCCCUUCAUGUUUCAUUCAGAUGAAUCUCCAUUAUAUCACUCUGCAUCUAUCUGAUCAUGCAUUUCACAGAUGAAACACUGUUGUCCAUUUAGCAAUUCGCCAAGUACUCUCGUAUGAAGUUUCUGGUUAGCUCCUUGUUUUCUUGCUCAGGUUGCAUCAUAUUAUGGUUUGCCAGUAUCCACAACACAUUGUAUUGUAGGAUCCAUGGUUGGUUUUGGUCUUGUUUAUGGGGGAACUGGUGCAGUCUUUUGGAGUUCACUGGCAAGGGUAAUUUCCUCAUGGGUUAUCUCACCUUUACUGGGAGCAGUGGUGUCCUUUCUCGUGUACAAAUGCAUACGGAGGUUUGUGUACAGUGCUCGGAACCCAGGAAAAGCGGCUGCAACAGCUGCACCAAUUUCUGUCUUUCUUGGUGUCACUGGAAUCUCUUUCGUAGCUCUCCCUUUGAGCAAGACUUUGAAUCUAGCUCUUGGCCAGGCUAUAACUUGUGGCGCCAUUAGUGCAUUUGCAGUUGACAGGAUCAUCCGGGGCCAACUUGGCCACCUCCUGGCCAAGGCCAGUUCAAAAGAACCAGAAACUACUGACACUAAAAACAUUGGAUUUCUUUCAGACAUUGCAGGUCCUAAAGGAACACAACUGAAAAUAGUUUAUGGCGUUUUUGGCUAUAUGCAAGUCUUAUCAGCCUGCUUCAUGUCAUUUGCUCAUGGUGGAAAUGAUGUCUCCAAUGCAAUAGGGCCAUUGGCUGCAGCAUUAUCCAUUCUUCAAGGUGGGCUCAGUGCAGCUGAUAUUGUUAUUCCAAAUGAUGUUCUAGCAUGGGGAGGCUUUGGAAUUGUGGCAGGACUAACAAUGUGGGGAUACAGAGUGAUUGCAACUAUUGGAAAGAAGAUAACAGAAUUAACACCCACCAGGGGAUUUGCAGCUGAGUUUGCAGCCGCAUCUGUGGUUUUGUGCGCGUCCAAGCUGGGCUUACCAAUCUCAGGCACACAUACCUUGGUGGGAGCAGUCAUGGGUGUUGGUUUUGCUCGAGGAUUUAACAGUGUAAGAGCAGAGACAGUGAGAGAGAUUGCAACUUCCUGGGCAGUGACAAUUCCAGCUGGUGCUACCUUUGCUGUUAUUUACACAUGGAUAUUCACUAAGCUCUUGUCAUACUUGCUCUGAGUGUAAAUUAACAGACAAUGCAGCACAAACUUCUCGGUGUAUGUGAUUAAUUAGGAAACACAAAGAUGGACUUCCUGUCGUGAUUUGAGAACUGCAAUUUUUUAACCUCAUUGAUCUAUGAGCAGAGAGUGAUAGUCCAUUCGUUUGGACGAAGAACAAG
rnacentral:misc_RNA from 1 species